rnacentral:rRNA from 1 species
AUUGAACGCUGGCGGCAGUCCUAACACAUGCAAGUCGAACGAGUGGCGGACGGGAGAGUCAUGUCUGGGAACCUGCCUGCUGGAGGGGGAUAACUCCUGGAAACGGUAGCUAAUACCGCAUACCAUCAGAUGUGCCCCGAUGGGAUGCGCUAUUUGGUGGGGUAACGGCUAACCAAGGCGACGAUCACUAGCUGGUCUGAGAGGAUGAACAGCCACACUGGAACUGAGACACGGUCCAGACUCCUACGGGAGGCAGCAGUGGGGAAUAUUGCACAAUGGGCGCAAGCCUGAUGCAGCCAUGCCGCGUGUAUGAAGAAGGCCUGCGGGUUGUAAAGUACUUUCAGCGGGGAGGCGUUACCCGCAGAAGAAGCACCGGCUAACUCCGGGCCAGCCGCCGCGGUAAUUC